CCUACGGGAGGCAGCAGUGAGGAAUAUUGGUCAAUGGGCGGGAGCCUGAACCAGCCAAGCCGCGUGAGGGAAGAAGGUACAGCGUAUCGUAACCCCUUUUUGUCAGGGAACAAAGGCGGGGAGUAGUCCCCGGAUGAGGGUACCUGAAGAAAAAGCAUCGGCAAACUCCGUGCCAGCGGCCGCGGUAAUACGGGGGAUGCGAGCGUUUUACGGUUUUAUGGGGUUAAAAGGGUGCGCAGGCGGCCUGUUAAGUCAGCGGUAAAAGCACGGGGCUCAACCCCGGCGAGCCGUUGAAACUGGCGGGCUGGAGUUGGAGAGAAGUACGCGGAAUGCGCGGUGUAGCGGUGAAAUGCUUAGAUAUCGCGCAGAACCCCGAUUGCGAAGGCAGCGUACCGGCCCCACACUGACGCUGAGGCACGAAAGCGUGGGUAUCGAACAGGAUUAGAUACCCUGGUAGUC
rnacentral:rRNA from 1 species